rnacentral:lncRNA from 1 species
CGCCGCUGCGCUCGCAUUGAACCCGAGCGAGAGGUCGUCGCCUCGUCCCGCGGCCGCCGCCGCCGCGGAUGAGGCUACCCAGUCCGCGAAGGCGCCGGUGUCCGAUGGGAAGCGCCGUCCCGAAGCCACACUUAUAUCCCCCUGAUUCCGCAGCUGCAAACGAUAAAAUUACCGCUUAAUUUCCGCACUUAGAGCCUAGAUUAGUAGAUUUCUCUCUCCCUAAAGCUACCACCGCUACUCGCCUACUCCUCCCCCUCUCCCCUCGAACAGCAGCAGCAGCAGCAGCAGCCGCCGGCGGCGGCAUGAGAAAGUAAAAACAAACCCAAAACGAAUCAAAAACUAAACCCAAAAACUGAAGAAAGGAGGCGAGAAAGUAAAAGGAGAGGAGAGGAGACGAGCUAAUAAGGCGGAAUAAAAAUCUCGGCUACGACUACUCACGCAGGAGGCUGAGCUGAGCUGAGCCGCAAGUCACGGCAGAAGUCUCCUCGAUCCCGUAGUGCACUAGACUGCCCUGUCUCUAUCUCUAUCUCGCUCUACCAGCAGCUCGCUUACUUGCUGCUUCUGCUGCUACGGCUCCAGCUCGCUCUCUCCUUUUUUCCUUUCCUUUUUGUCACUUGACGCUGCACAUUUGGGAGGGAUUUGUGUGCGUAGGAGAGGAGAGGAGGGUUAGCUAGCUACGCUAUACUAGUAGUAGUAGGAUAGGAGGCGUAGGAGAGCGAUGUGUGGAAGGGUCACUCGAUGCACACUCCAAUAGUUGGAGCAACGAAAGAGAGAGGAGAGGAGUCGUCUCGAAUUUAAGUGGUGGUGGAGACCGGGAGAGGGGAGGAGUGGGGACUCUGAAAUUCCUCUGGGAGAUGAGAUCUUCUCGAUCACUCCCUAUCGACGACGAGACGAUCUAUCUUUGGCGGUGGGAGGGCCUUUUUAUUGGCCGUUCCUUCGCUUUGGCCGCUCUCUUCUCUUUUCUGCGCUCCAUGC